rnacentral:rRNA from 1 species
AGAGUUUGAUCCUGGCUCAGAUUGAACUCUGGCGGCAGGCCUAACACAUGCAAGUCGAACGGUAACAGGAAGAAGCUUGCUUCUUUGCUGACGAGUGGCGGACGGGUGAGUAAUGUCUGGGAAACUGCCUGAUGGAGGGGGAUAACUACUGGAAACGGUAGCUAAUACCGCAUAACGUCGCAAGACCAAAGAGGGGGACCUUCGGGCCUCUUGCCAUCGGAUGUGCCCAGAUGGGAUUAGCUUGUUGGUGGGGUAACGGCUCACCAAGGCGACGAUCCCUAGCUGGUCUGAGAGGAUGACCAGCCACACUGGAACUGAGACACGGUCCAGACUCCUACGGGAGGCAGCAGUGGGGAAUAUUGCACAAUGGGCGCAAGCCUGAUGCAGCCAUGCCGCGUGUAUGAAGAAGGCCUUCGGGUUGUAAAGUACUUUCAGCGGGGAGGAAGGGAGUAAAGUUAAUACCUUUGCUCAUUGACGUUACCCGCAGAAGAAGCACCGGCUAACUCCGUGCCAGCAGCCGCGGUGAUACGGAGGGUGCAAGCGCUAAUCGGAAUUACUGGGCGUAAAGCGCACGCAGGCGGUUUGUUAAGUCAGAUGUGAAAUCCCCGGGCUCAACCUGGGAACUGCAUCUGAUACUGGCAAGCUUGAGUCUCGUAGAGGGGGGUAGAAUUCCAGGUGUAGCGGUGAAAUGCGUAGAGAUCUGGAGGAAUACCGGUGGCGAAGGCGGCCCCCUGGACGAAGACUGACGCUCAGGUGCGAAAGCGUGGGGAGCAAACAGGAUUAGAUACCCUGGUAGUCCACGCCGUAAACGAUGUCGACUUGGAGGUUGUGCCCUUGAGGCGUGGCUUCCGGAGCUAACGCGUUAAGUCGACCGCCUGGGGAGUACGGCCGCAAGGUUAAAACUCAAAUGAAUUGACGGGGGCCCGCACAAGCGGUGGAGCAUGUGGUUUAAUUCGAUGCAACGCGAAGAACCUUACCUGGUCUUGACAUCCACAGAACUUUCCAGAGAUGGAUUGGUGCCUUCGGGAACUGUGAGACAGGUGCUGCAUGGCUGUCGUCAGCUCGUGUUGUGAAAUGUUGGGUUAAGUCCCGCAACGAGCGCAACCCUUAUCCUUUGUUGCCAGCGGUCCGGCCGGGAACUCAAAGGAGACUGCCAGUGAUAAACUGGAGGAAGGUGGGGAUGACGUCAAGUCAUCAUGGCCCUUACGACCAGGGCUACACACGUGCUACAAUGGCGCAUACAAAGAGAAGCGACCUCGCGAGAGCAAGCGGACCUCAUAAAGUGCGUCGUAGUCCGAAUUGGAGUCUGCAACUCGACUCCAUGAAGUCGGAAUCGCUAGUAAUCGUGGAUCAGAAUGCCACGGUGAAUACGUUCCCGGGCCUUGCACACACCGCCCGUCA